rnacentral:sRNA from 1 species
GCAAACAAUAGGCGAGCGAGGCGGCCGA